AGCUCCAAGAGCGUAUAUUAAAGUUGUUGCAGUUAAAAAGCUCGUAGUUGGAUUUCUGGUACAACGCGCCUGGCCCGCUUUUAGUGAGUGCCGGUGCGCGUUUGCCAUCCUUCUAGAAAACGUUUCUACCUGGGCAACCGGGCCGGACUCGCGAUCUAGAUCUUUUACUUUGAAAAAAUUAGAGUGUUUAAAGCAGGCUUUUGCUGUGAAUACAUUAGCAUGGAAUAAUAAUCUAGGACUUCGGUUCUAUUUUGUUGGUUUCUAGUACUGAAGUAAUGAUUGAUAGGGAUAGUUGGGGGUGCUAGUAUUGGCCGGCCAGAGGUGAAAUUCUUGGAUUCGGUCAAGACUAACUUAUGCGAAAGCAUUCACCAAGGAUGUCUUCU
rnacentral:rRNA from 1 species